rnacentral:rRNA from 1 species
GACGAACGCUGGCGGCGUGCUUAACACAUGCAAGUCGAACGGAAAGGCCCUGCUUUUGUGGGGUGCUCGAGUGGCGAACGGGUGAGUAACACGUGAGUAACCUGCCCUCGACUUUGGGAUAACUUCAGGAAACUGGGGCUAAUACCGGAUAGGAGCUCCUGCUGCAUGGUGGGGGUUGGAAAGUUUCGGCGGUUGGGGAUGGACUCGCGGCUUAUCAGCUUGUUGGUGGGGUAGUGGCUUACCAAGGCUUUGACGGGUAGCCGGCCUGAGAGGGUGACCGGCCACAUUGGGACUGAGAUACGGCCCAGACUCCUACGGGAGGCAGCAGUGGGGAAUAUUGGACAAUGGGCGGAAGCCUGAUGCAGCAACGCCGCGUGCGGGAUGACGGCCUUCGGGUUGUAAACCGCUUUCGCCUGUGACGAAGCGUGAGUGACGGUAAUGGGUAAAGAAGCACCGGCUAACUACGUG